rnacentral:rRNA from 1 species
ACUCCUACGGGAGGCAGCAGUGGGGAAUAUUGGACAAUGGGGGAAACCCUGAUCCAGCAAUGCCGCGUGUGUGAAGAAGGCCUCGGUGUAAGCACUUCAUAGGAGGAAAGACUGUGCGUUAAUAGCGUACAGCCGUGACGUUACCUAUAGAAGAAGCACCGGCUAACUCCGUGCCAGCAGCCGCGGUAAUACGGAGGGGUGCAAGCGUUAAUCGGAAUUACUGGGCGUAAAGCGCGCGUAGGCGGUUUGCUAAGUCAGAUGUGAAAUCCCCGGGGCUCAACCUGGGAAUGGCAUUUGAGACUGGUAGGCUAGAAUGUGGUAGAGGUGAGUGGAAUUCCAGGUGUAGCGGUGAAAUGCGUAGAGAUCUGGAGGAACAUCAGUGGCGAAGGCGACUCACUGGGCCAUUAUUGACGCUGAGGUGCGAAAGCGUGGGUAGCAACAGGAUUAGAUACCCUGGUAGGAUAGCG